rnacentral:rRNA from 1 species
GACGAACGUUGGCGGCGUGCUUAACACAUGCAAGUCGAACGGAAAGGCCCUGCUUUUGUGGGGUGCUCGAGUGGCGAACGGGUGAGUAACACGUGAGUAACCUGCCCUUGACUUUGGGAUAACUUCAGGAAACUGGGGCUAAUACCGGAUAGGAGCUCCUGCUGCAUGGUGGGGGUUGGAAAGUUUCGGCGGUUGGGGAUGGACUCGCGGCUUAUCAGCUUGUUGGUGGGGUAGUGGCUUACCAAGGCUUUGACGGGUAGCCGGCCUGAGAGGGUGACCGGCCACAUUGGGACUGAGAUACGGCCCAGACUCCUACGGGAGGCAGCAGUGGGGAAUAUUGCACAAUGGGCGGAAGCCUGAUGCAGCAACGCUGCGUGCGGGAUGACGGCCUUCGGGUUGUAAACCGCUUUCGCCUGUGACGAAGCGUGAGUGACGGUAAUGGGUAAAGAAGCACCGGCUAACUACGUGCCAGCAGCCGCGGUGAUACGUAGGGUGCGAGCGUUGUCCGGAUUUAUUGGGCGUAAAGGGCUCGUAGGUGGUUGAUCGCGUCGGAAGUGUAGUCUUGGGGCUUAACCCUGAGCGUGCUUUCGAUACGGGUUGACUUGAGGAAGGUAGGGGAGAAUGGAAUUCCUGGUGGAGCGGUGGAAUGCGCAGAUAUCAGGAGGAACACCAGUGGCGAAGGCGGUUCUCUGGGCCUUUCCUGACGCUGAGGAGCGAAAGCGUGGGGAGCGAACAGGCUUAGAUACCCUGGUAGUCCACGCUGUAAACGGUGGGUACUAGGUGUGGGGUCCAUUCCACGGGUUCCGUGCCGUAGCUAACGCUUUAAGUACCCCGCCUGGGGAGUACGGCCGCAAGGCUAAAACUCAAAGGAAUUGACGGGGCCCCGCACAAGCGGCGGAGCAUGCGGAUUAAUUCGAUGCAACGCGUAGAACCUUACCUGGGUUUGACAUGGAUCGGGAGCGCUCAGAGAUGGGUGUGCCUCUUUUGGGGUCGGUUCACAGGUGGUGCAUGGCUGUCGUCAGCUCGUGUCGUGAGAUGUUGGGUUAAGUCCCGCAACGAGCGCAACCCUUGUUCACUGUUGCCAGCACGUUAUGGUGGGGACUCAGUGGAGACCGCCGGGGUCAACUCGGAGGAAGGUGGGGAUGACGUCAAGUCAUCAUGCCCCUUAUGUCCAGGGCUUCACGCAUGCUACAAUGGCUGGUACAGAGAGUGGCGAGCCUGUGAGGGUGAGCGAAUCUCGGAAAGCCGGUCUCAGUUCGGAUUGGGGUCUGCAACUCGACCUCAUGAAGUCGGAGUCGCUAGUAAUCGCAGAUCAGCAACGCUGCGGUGAAUACGUUCCCGGGGCU